rnacentral:rRNA from 1 species
GACGAACGCUGGCGGCGUGCCUAACACAUGCAAGUCGAGCGAAUGAAGUUCCUUCGGGGACGGAUUUAGCGGCGGACGGGUGAGUAACACGUGGGCAACCUGCCUCAUAGAGGGGAAUAGCCUUCCGAAAGGGAGAUUAAUACCGCAUAAGAUUGUAGUACCGCAUGAUACAGCAAUUAAAGGAGCAAUCCGCUAUGAGAUGGGCCCGCGGCGCAUUAGCUAGUUGGUGAGGUAACGGCUCACCAAGGCGACGAUGCGUAGCCGACCUGAGAGGGUGAUCGGCCACAUUGGGACUGAGACACGGCCCAGACUCCUACGGGAGGCAGCAGUGGGAAAUAUUGCACAAUGGGGGAAACCCUGAUGCAGCAACGCCGCGUGAGUGAUGACGGCCUUCGGGUUGUAAAGCUCUGUCUUCAGGGACGAUAAUGACGGUAC